rnacentral:rRNA from 1 species
AUUGAACGCUGGCGGCAUGCUUUACACAUGCAAGUCGAACGGCAGCGCGGGCUUCUGCCUGGCGGCGAGUGGCGAACGGGUGAGUAAUACAUCGGAACGUGCCCAGUAGUGGGGGAUAGCUCGUCGAAAGCCGGAUUAAUACCGCAUACGACCUGAGGGUGAAAGCGGGGGAUCUUCGGACCUCGCGCUAUUGGAGCGGCCGAUGGCAGAUUAGCUAGUUGGUGGGGUAAAGGCCUACCAAGGCGACGAUCUGUAGCUGGUCUGAGAGGACGACCAGCCACACUGGGACUGAGACACGGCCCAGACUCCUACGGGAGGCAGCAGUGGGGAAUUUUGGACAAUGGGCGAAAGCCUGAUCCAGCAAUGCCGCGUGUGUGAUGAAGGCCUUCGGGUUGUAAAGCACUUUUGGCGGGAACGAAAAGGAAUGUGCCAAUACCACGGUUCGAUGACGGUACCCGCAGAAUAAGCACCGGCUAACUACGUG